UAGGGAAUCUUCGGCAAUGGACGAAAGUCUGACCGAGCAACGCCGCGUGAGUGAAGAAGGUUUUCGGAUCGUAAAACUCUGUUGUUAGAGAAGAACAAGGACGUCAGUAACUGAACGUCCCCUGACGGUACCUAACCAGAAAGCCACGGCUAACUACGUGCCAGCAGCCGCGGUAAUACGUAGGUGGCAAGCGUUGUCCGGAUUUAUUGGGCGUAAAGCGAGCGCAGGCGGUUUCUUAAGUCUGAUGUGAAAGCCCCCGGCUCAACCGGGGAGGGUCAUUGGAAACUGGGAGACUUGAGUGCAGAAGAGGAGAGUGGAAUUCCAUGUGUAGCGGUGAAAUGCGUAGAUAUAUGGAGAAACACCAGUGGCGAAGGCGGCUCUCUGGUCUGUAACUGACGCUGAGGCUCGAAAGCGUGGGGAGCAAACAGG
rnacentral:rRNA from 1 species